rnacentral:rRNA from 1 species
GAUGAACGCUAGCGGCAGGCUUAACACAUGCAAGUCGAGGGGUAUAGGAAGCUUGCUUUCUAGAGACCGGCGCACGGGUGCGUAACGCGUAUGCAAUCUACCUUUCACAGAGGGAUAGCCCAGAGGAAUUUGGAUUAAUACCUCAUAGUAUUACGACUUGGCAUCAAGAUGUAAUUAAAGAUUUAUCGGUGAAAGAUGAGCAUGCGUCCCAUUAGCUAGUUGGUAUGGUAACGGCAUACCAAGGCUACGAUGGGUAGGGGUCCUGAGAGGGAGAUCCCCCACACUGGUACUAAGACACGGACCAGACUCCUACGGGAGGCAGCAGUGAGGAAUAUUGGACAAUGGGCGCAAGCCUGAUCCAGCCAUGCCGCGUGCAGGAUGACGGUCCUAUGGAUUGUAAACUGCUUUUAUACAGGAAGAAACACCUCUACGUGUAGAGACUUGACGGUACUGUAAGAAUAAGGAUCGGCUAACUCCGUGCCAGCAGCCGCGGUAAUACGGAGGAUCCAAGCGUUAUCCGGAAUCAUUGGGUUUAAAGGGUCCGUAGGCGGUCAGGUAAGUCAGUGGUGAAAGCCCAUCGCUCAACGGUGGAACGGCCAUUGAUACUGUCUGACUUGAAUUAUUAGGAAGUAACUAGGAUAUGUAGUGUAGCGGUGAAAUGCUUAGAGAUUACAUGGAAUACCAAUUGCGAAGGCAGGUUACUACUAAUAUAUUGACGCUGAUGGACGAAAGCGUGGGUAGCGAACAGGAUUAGAUACCCUGGUAGUCCACGCCGUAAACGAUGGAUACUAGCUGUUGGGAGCAAUCUCAGUGGCUAAGCGGAAGUGAUAAGUAUCCCACCUGGGGAGUACGAACGCAAGUUUGAAACUCAAAGGAAUUGACGGGGGCCCGCACAAGCGGUGGAGCAUGUGGUUUAAUUCGAUGAUACGCGAGGAACCUUACCAAGGCUUAAAUGUAGUUUGACCGGUU